UCUUCGAUGGUCUAGUGGUCAUGAUUUCCGGUUCGUUCAGCUGCAGCCUACAUCUGCAUUGCACACCUACUAACAGGUAGCCAGCUUGUCAUGUCUUUGGAUACCCACGCGGGAGACCGGGGUUCGAUUCCCCGUCGGAGAG